UUUUAUUAUGUUCUCAUUGUUUGAAAGACCUUGAGUGUUAUCUGUUCUCCCGACAGGAUCCUGACUGACAUGAUACUGACAGCAAAAACGAGAUAUUGUGGAAUUCACUUGAUCUUCAUCUGAAUUCUCAGGCCAUCAGAUUGAGACAGAGCCUCCUGUCACCCGAAAACAACUGGGGAGUUAUAAUUGGAAAUAUGACAACACUGGUUGUACAUGUUGAGGAGGUCAGAGCCUCUGUCUCCCUGGGUCCUAAACUGGUGAACUAGAGCAGACUCUUCCCACAUCAGCCACACUACCAGUUGGACUUGAUAUGAAUGAGAGAUAAACAUUAUGGUAAGUCACUGAGAUUUGGGGGUUUAUUCGUUAAUGCAUCCUAUGUUACCUUAACUAACACAUGAU
rnacentral:lncRNA from 13 species